rnacentral:rRNA from 1 species
UACGUAGGGGGCUAGCGUUGUCCGGAUUUAUUGGGCGUAAAGAGCGUGUAGGCGGCCUGACAGGUCUGCUGUGAAAACUCGAGGCUCAACCUCGAGAUGUCGGCGGAAACCGUCUGGCUAGAGUCCGGAAGAGGAGAGUGGAAUUCCUGGUGUAGCGGUGAAAUGCGCAGAUAUCAGGAAGAACACCUAUGGCGAAGGCAGCUCUCUGGGACGGUACUGACGCUGAGACGCGAAAGCGUGGGGAGCGAACGGG